GAAACGGAACGGUACCUCCUUAACCCUUGAAGUCACCGUGAUGUUUCGCAGAGUUUCUCUCAAACUCGAAAUAACUAAAGCCAACGUGAACGUUUGCGGACCCUCAGGUCCGCA
rnacentral:other from 1 species